rnacentral:rRNA from 1 species
AAUGAACGUUGGCGGCAUGGAUUAGGCAUGCAAGUCGAGCGAGAAGAGUUUUGAAGCUUGCUUUAGAACUCGGACAGCGGCGAAAGGGAGAGUAACGCGUAGUUAUGUGCCCCAGGGUCCGGAAUAGCCACGGGAAACUGUGGGUAAUGCCGGAUAAUAUCUCCGGAUCAGUGGUGUGAUUCCGCCCUAGGAGCAGACUGCGUCCAACUAGCUAGUUGGUGGGGUAGUGGCCCACCAAGGCAAUGAUGGGUAGCGGGUGUGAGAGCAUGACCCGUCUCACUGGGACUGAGACACUGCCCGGACACCUACGGGUGGCUGCAGUCGAGAAUCUUCGGCAAUGGGCGAAAGCCUGACCGAGCGAUGCCCCGUGCGGGAUGAAGGCCCUCGGGUUGUAAACCGCUGUCGUAGGGGAGGAAGGUUCCGUCAAGAGCGGGCCUUGACCUAUCCUAGGAGGAAGUACGGGCUAAGUUCGUGCCAGCAGCCGCGGUAACAC